rnacentral:rRNA from 1 species
CUUAACACUUGCAGUCGAGGGGUAUAGUUCUUCGGAGCUAGAGACCGGCGCACGGGUGCGUAACGCGUAUGCAAUCUACCUUUUACAGAGGGAUAGCCCAGAGAAAUUUGGAUUAAUACCUCAUAGUAUGUGAGAAUCGCAUGGUUUUCACAUUAAAGUUCCAACGGUAAAAGAUGAGCAUGCGUCCCAUUAGCUAGAUGGUAAGGUAACGGCUUACCAUGGCAACGAUGGGUAGGGGUCCUGAGAGGGAGAUCCCCCACACUGGUACUGAGACACGGACCAGACUCCUACGGGAGGCAGCAGUGAGGAAUAUUGGACAAUGGGCGCAAGCCUGAUCCAGCCAUGCCGCGUGCAGGAUGACGGUCCUAUGGAUUGUAAACUGCUUUUGUACAGGAAGAAACACUCCCUCGUGAGGGAGCUUGACGGUACUGUAAGAAUAAGGAUCGGCUAACUCCGUGCCAGCAGCCGCGGUAAUACGGAGGAUCCAAGCGUUAUCCGGAAUCAUUGGGUUUAAAGGGUCCGUAGGCGGUUUAAUAAGUCAGUGGUGAAAGCCCAUCGCUCAACGGUGGAACGGCCAUUGAUACUGUUAAACUUGAAUUAUUAGGAAGUAACUAGAAUAUGUAGUGUAGCGGUGAAAUGCUUAGAGAUUACAUGGAAUACCAAUUGCGAAGGCAGGUUACUACUAAUGGAUUGACGCUGAUGGACGAAAGCGUGGGUAGCGAACAGGAUUAGAUACCCUGGUAGUCCACGCCGUAAACGAUGGAUACUAGCUGUUGGGAGCAAUCUCAGUGGCUAAGCGAAAGUGAUAAGUAUCCCACCUGGGGAGUACGUUCGCAAGAAUGAAACUCAAAGGAAUUGACGGGGGCCCGCACAAGCGGUGGAGCAUGUGGUUUAAUUCGAUGAUACGCGAGGAACCUUACCAAGGCUUAAAUGUAGUUUGACCG